rnacentral:tRNA from 1 species
GACUCGAUAGCUCAAUGGGCAGAGCGGCGGUCUAGAUGCCCGAAGAUGCGAGUUCAAAUCCCGCUUGAGCCA